rnacentral:rRNA from 1 species
AGUCACUGACAUUAGAUACCCGCGUAGUCCCAGCCGUAAACAAUGUGCGUUUAGGUGUGUCGGUAACCACGCGUUACUGAUGCGCCGAAGAGAAAUCGUGAAACGCACCACCUGGGAAGUACGGUCGCAAGGCUGAAACUUAAAGGAAUUGCGGGGAGCACCACAACAGGUGGAGCCUGCGGUUUAAUUGGAUUCAACGCCGGACAUCUCACCGGAUAAGACAGCUGAAUGAUUGUCAAUCUGAAGGUUUUACAUGACUAGCUG